ACGGGGCUCAACGCUUGAGGUCGAUCACUGCUUGUUAUUAAUGCAAAUGCUCUGUGCUCGUUCCACCAGCUCCCACCCCAAAAAGAUUGCAGGAACAAGGUGAGACUAAUUUUCAGAGAAUUCCUUUAAUUGUCAGGAUCAGUUGAUGUUUAAUGGUGCCGAAGUCAGUCCGUUUAAGCGCAGCCUACAAGGUAUGUUCUGUGAACAAGCUCACCUCCCAGAGAUACAACUUACUCAGUAUAAGAACAUUUAAGUUACAUGUAUCAGCUCAGGAUAUUCAGAGAGAGACUUAGUCCUUAGGACAAGAGAAAGCACACUGAAUUGAAAGCUAGUCUACAGAAUUUUAAAGUGAAAGUAUUCCUACAGGCUUUGCAGGCUCCAUUUCACUUACAGCAGCUAUUUCAGAUACAGCAAGAGAUUCCAUUUGUAACAAACAAGCUGCAAGUAAUUUCUCAAACCAUGGAAGCCAGGUGGAAAAAGUGAAGGUAACUGAAUGCAAUAUAGAAAUUUAAGGAGAAUAAAUCACAUUUUCCACUUUACAGGAAGAAGAAAAUACAGUUCAGGUAUCCUGACCGGUACCUUCUUAGGCAGACAUUUACGUACUCAGUUUAAAACUCACAGUUAAAGGGAAAAGCUGUUCCAGUAAUGCCCUAGGAACUUCCUGAGAAUCAGGAAGACUUUUGAGGCAGUUGUUCACUUUGGGAGGAUUUCCCAAGCCACCUAACACCGGGCUGAUGGACUCCCACCAAGCGGGAGGAAUCAGGCUCUGAACAAAGCCCAACACGAGUGCGUGCCCAGAGCACACAGAGUCAGCUGGGGGGUCAGUGAGGCCCUUCCACACUUUGAGCUGCCACAGCCAACUGCAGAUGUACCUGCAGGGUCGCUGCAGCACGUAGGAAGUAGCUCAGAAUACCAGACAAGCAAGCAGAAGCAGCAAGAGGUAGAAGCGAUUUUGUGCUGCCUGCCCAUCAGCAAGACGAAAAACAUUUCAGCGUGAAGUCAAUCCACCUGGAGUCAGCCACGUGCCCAGUGCCCACCUCGCUCUAGCAGCUCAACCUUUAAAAGCCUUGGUGAUGCUAUUUCCAGUGUGCACGUCCACAGGAGGAGAGCUUUUACACAACUGCUUCAGAUAUACCUAAAGCUGGCUUAAGAACCACUAAGUCAAGCUAGCAUCGAUAACAGUAGUGUUACACUUCUGCUAUUCAUUAGUCCGCAUGGUUCCAUUUCGUAAUUAAAAUACUUGCAGUUUAAGACUUUACAAUAAAGAAUGUGCAGCCCUCAGCAGUGUUUCCACUGCUAGUCUAUGGAAAACAUAUGCAUGGAAAGUAUGUACAGUGCAUGUACACAGCCGUCUUUGGAUAGCUUCAGUGAACAUUCAACGCUGUCGGUGAGUUUGAGAACUAAAAAAAACCAUCGACCGUUGACUGUACCUUGAGGUUUAUCACAAACCCUCUGUUAAAUGGAAAGCUUGAACCUUCGGAGGUUUUCACAUAUGGUUGCUAUUAACAGGUCAUGAUUUAGAUUAUAUUAAGAGCUAGAGGUUGAGUUUUUCCAGCUCUACUUCCCUACGUUCUCCAGAAAUUAACUGGUAAAAAAAAAAAAAAAAAGUUGUUUUCUAUUUAACAGCAACAACAAACAAAAAGACUAUGAGCAAGACCAGAAUUUCUGCAAAAAAAA